UACGUAGGGUGCAAGCGUUGUCCGGAAUUAUUGGGCGUAAAGAGCUCGUAGGCGGUCUGUCGCGUCUGCUGUGAAAACUCAGGGCUUAACCCUCGAGCUUGCAGUGGGUACGGGCAGACUAGAGUGCGGUAGGGGAGACUGGAAUUCCUGGUGUAGCGGUGAAAUGCGCAGAUAUCAGGAGGAACACCGGUGGCGAAGGCGGGUCUCUGGGCCGUAACUGACGCUGGAGGAGCGAAAGCGUGGGGAGCGAACAGG
rnacentral:rRNA from 1 species